rnacentral:siRNA from 1 species
AGCAUACGGUUGGUCAGUAUUUU